rnacentral:rRNA from 1 species
UAAGCCAUGCAUGUGUCAGUAUAAGUCACUUGUGAACGAAACUGCGAUGGCUCAUUACAACAGUUACAGUUUACUUGGCGUUAAAUUUAUGGAUAUCUGUAGUAAUUCUAGAGCUAAUACAUGUGUAAACACUGAACGCAAGAACGGUGGCAUUUAUUAGAAACAAAACCUUCCCGAGUUUACUCGGUUGUUGGUGAAUUAUGAUAAAGCUGCAGAUCGUCUAUGACGACAUGCCAAUCAAGUUUCUGACCUAUCAGCUCUUGACGGUAAGGUCUUGGCUUACCGUGGCGUUGACGGGUAACGGAGAAUUAGGGUUUGAUUCCGAGAGGAAGCCUGAGAAACGGCUACCACAUCUAAGGAUGGCAGCAGGCGCGCAAAUUACCCAAUCCUAACACAGGGAGGUAGUGACAAGAAAUAACAAUGCAGAAAUAUUUUUGCAAUUGGAAUGAGUAGGCCUUAAACCCGCUUACGAUAAACAAUUGGAGGGCAAGUCUGGUGCCAGCAGCCGCGGUAAUUCCAGCUCCAAUAGCGUAUAUUAAAGUUGUUGCGGUUAAAAAGCUCGUAGUCUAUUUUUUGCUCGUGAUGCCUAUGAUUUUAUCAUUUGGUUGAUUGCGAGCGCCUAAUGUGACUAGAUUUAUCUGCUCACAAUAGGCAUUACUUUGAGGAAAUUAGAGUGUUUCAAGCAGGCUUUUGCCAUGAAUAUUUUAGCAUGGAAUAAUAAAUUAGGACGCUAGUUCUAUUUUGUUGGUUUUAGAUCUGGCGCAUUUUUAAUAGGGACAGUCGGGGGCAUCCGUACUUAACAGUCAGAGGUGAAAUUCUUGGAUUUGUUAAAGACGAACAACUGCGAAAGCAUUUGCCAAGGAUGUUUUCUUUGAUCAAGAACGAAAGUUAGGGGAUCGAAGACGAUCAGAUACCGUCCUAGUCUUAACUAUAAACUAUGCCGACUAGAAAUUGGAGUAGCACGUGUUACUCCGGCAUCUUAUGAGAAAUCAAAGUUUUUGGGUUCCGGGGGGAGUAUGGUCGCAAGGCUGAAACUUAAAGGAAUUGACGGAAGGGCACCACCAGGAGUGGAGCCUGCGGCUUAAUUUGACUCAACACGGGAAAACUCACCAGGUCCAGACAUGGGAAGGAUUGACAGAUUGAAAGCUCUUUCUUGAUUCUAUGGGUGGUGGUGCAUGGCCGUUCUUAGUUGGUGGAGUGAUUUGUCUGGUUAAUUCCGUUAACGAACGAGAUCUUAUCCUGCUAAAUAGAUUACUAAAUUCGUUUAGAAUAUCUUCUUAGAGGGACUUCGCAUUUUUAAUGCGAGGAAGCUUGAGGCAAUAACAGGUCUGUGAUGCCCUUAGAUGUUCUGGGCUGCACGCGCGCUACACUGACAUACACAACGAGUUUGUCCUUUUCUGUUAAGAAUGGGGAAUCUUGAAAGUAUGUCGUGAUGGGGAUAGAUUAUUGCAAUUAUUAAUCUUCAACGAGGAAUUCCUAGUAAGUGCAAGUCAUCAACUUGCGCUGAUUACGUCCCUGCCCUUUGUACACACCGCCCGUCGCUCCUACCGAUUGAGUGUUCCGGUGAAUUGUGAGGAUUUGGACAUUAAUUUGCUCUAGAGAAUCACUG